CCUACGGGGAGGCAGCAGUGGGGCACAUUGCACAAUGGGGGAAACCUUGAUGCAGCGACGCUGUUUGAGUGAAGAAGUAUCCCGGUAUGUAAAGCUCUAUCAUCAGGGAAGAUAAUGACGGUACCUGACCAAGAAGCCCCGGCAAACUACGUGCCAGCAGCCGCGGUACUAGGUAGGGGGCAAGCGUUAUCCGAUUUUACUGGUGGUAAGGGUGCGUUUACUGCAGCACAAGGCCGGCGUGAAAUCCCGGGGCUUAACCCCGGAACUGCUUUGGAAACUGUGCGGCUGGAGUGCAGGAGGGGUAAGCGGAAUGCGUAGUGUAGCGGUGAAAUGCGGAGAUAUUAGGAGGAACACCGGGGGCGAAGGCGGCUUACUGGACUGUAACUGACGUUGAGGCUCGAAAGCGUGGGGAGCAAACAGGAUUAGAUACCCGAGUAGUC
rnacentral:rRNA from 1 species